rnacentral:rRNA from 1 species
UAGGGAAUCUUCCGCAAUGGACGAAAGUCUGACGGAGCAACGCCGCGUGAGUGAUGAAGGUUUUCGGAUCGUAAAGCUCUGUUGUUAGGGAAGAACAAGUGCCGUUCGAAUAGGGCGGCACCUUGACGGUACCUAACCAGAAAGCCACGGCUAACUACGUGCCAGCAGCCGCGGUAAUACGUAGGUGGCAAGCGUUGUCCGGAAUUAUUGGGCGUAAAGCGCGCGCAGGUGGUUCCUUAAGUCUGAUGUGAAAGCCCACGGCUCAACCGUGGAGGGUCAUUGGAAACUGGGGGACUUGAGUGCAGAAGAGGAAAGUGGAAUUCCAAGUGUAGCGGUGAAAUGCGUAGAUAUUUGGAGGAACACCAGUGGCGAAGGCGACUUUCUGGUCUGUAACUGACACUGAGGCGCGAAAGCGUGGGGAGCAAACAGGAUUAGAUACCCUGGUAGUCCACGCCGUAAACGAUGAGUGCUAAGUGUUAGGGGGUUUCCGCCCCUUAGUGCUGCAGCUAACGCAUUAAGCACUCCGCCUGGGGAGUACGGUCGCAAGACUG